rnacentral:rRNA from 1 species
CUUGGUUCAGGACGAACGCUGGCGGCGUGCCUAAUACAUGCAAGUCGAACGGUCUUUCUAUGGAAGCUUGCUUCCACUGAGAAGAUAGUGGCGAACGGGUGAGUAACACGUGGGUAACCUGCCCAUAAGAGGGGGAUAACAUCCGGAAACGGGUGCUAAUACCGCAUAGUUUUCUUGAUCGCAUGAUUGAGAAAGGAAAGACGGCCUUUGUGCUGUCGCUUAUGGAUGGACCCGCGGCGUAUUAGUUAGUUGGUGAGGUAACGGCUCACCAAGACGAUGAUACGUAGCCGACCUGAGAGGGUGAUCGGCCACAUUGGGACUGAGACACGGCCCAAACUCCUACGGGAGGCAGCAGUAGGGAAUCUUCCGCAAUGGACGAAAGUCUGACGGAGCAACGCCGCGUGAGUGAAGAAAAGGUUUUCGGAUCGUAAAACUCUGUUGUCAGAGAAGAACAAGUUGGAGAGUAACUGCUCCAGCCUUGACGGUAUCUGACCAGAAAGCCACGGCUAACUACGUGCCAGCAGCGGC